CUCUCUGCGUGCCACCAUUUCAAAGGCAGGACUCUGCCUUGCACUUGUUGAAUAGGGUGUGGAACACUUUGAUGUGUUGACAGUCGAGAUGUGGUCUUCAUGACUGUCUAAACGGGCUUAGUUUGAAAGGUCAGAAGUAGCCAAGCAUUCAUUUCCCCGUUUGCAGCACCGAGAGUGGUCUUGUCUUCAGAGAUUCUGAUAGAAAGCCCAUGACUGUUGAGCCAGUGCAUUCUGCUUCCCUGGAAUUCUCCGUCAAGACAGAAUCACAGAUCCAAUUAAUUUUUAUGUUUAUUCUGACUGGGACAGUGCUGCCUCUGGAAUCAGAGCCUCGGCGAUUGAGAGACCCUGAUGGGAUUUCCAUCUUUAGAAACAAGUUCUUUCGUUCCCUUUCGUUAGACCUUCUUGCUGUGUAAUCUCCGCCUCUCAGCCUGCUGCAGUUAUGGCCACGCACCGUCCUGCCUCGCCUAGCUCUCCAACGGACACUGAGCAUAGAGGAGGAAGAAAGCUGGGUCCCCAAGAUGCCCAUUGUCAUUCCAGGACGGCCUGGUCUGAGGGGGAGGCAUGAGGACAGUGGAGAGAGAGUGAUACCAGCUUUCUCUCAACACAGGUGGGAGCAGGCUUUCUCUGCUGUCUCCAGGACAGGCUGGGGAACUCAUUCUUCUGGACAGCUCCCUUCUAGCCCACCAGAGCCUGGGACCCAGCAAGCGUCUAGGACAACAGUUCUCAACCUGACCCCAGCCACCAGCUAACCUACCCCAGACAGGGGAUGGGAGAGGGAAUCCUGGCAUCUCACAGCUUUGACUUGAAACCCCUCACUUUGGCACUCAGAACUGAGGGAGCAGACCUGGAGACCCUAUAACAGGGAAAAGACAGGGGUCAAAGGCACCUCCUCAGAAGGUGUCAGAGGCUAUUAUAGCAUUGUAGGCUGCAGUGUGAAUGAGCAUGGUUGGGAAAACUUGCCACAUUCCUGGGAAGAGUUGAAGAUGUGUAACACCCAUCGUUAAUAUCAUAGAGCACCAGUCCUUCAUGCCUUUUGUCUCAAGACUACUUUACAUUCUUAAAUAUUAGUAAAGACCCCAUAUGACUCUUUUAGGUGAAUUAAGCUGGUUGAUAUUUACCAUAUUAGCAGUUAAAAUUAUUAAAAAAAAUAAACUCCUACACACUAAUAAAAGUAACAUAUUUAUGAAAAACCCACAUUUUCCAAAACAAACAACAGGCAGAGGAGCUUCCUGAGGAGAGGGGCAUUGUUUGGUGGAAGCCGGCCGGGCUCAUGCCUGCCAUGCACGACUGCUGUGAUGCUGUGUCCUCUGUGCUGCUGGGAAAUUCCUGAGUUCUGUAGGGAGAGGAUGGAGCUGAAAGAAACAACACUGCUGUGUAUUAGCAAAUAGCGUGGACUUCACAGGCCUCCUGAGAGGCCUUUGACAGACCUGGCCAUGCUUUGGGGGGGACUGUGGGAGAACUUUGGGACUUCAAGCUGGAAAAGACAUUGAGUGUGGAGAGCUCAGUGAGCUGUUCUGUAGGAGCUUGGAAAGAUAAGAAUGUUGAGAGCCGUGCAGAAGAUGGAGGCCUGGCUUGUGAAGUUUCAGAGGGAAGUCAAGACUCUACCUGGCCAUUUCUGUGAAGAAUCUGAGGUGUCUGGUCAGCUGGAGCUGAAGAAUCAGCUGUGAUUAACAAGACACCAGAAACACUGAAGUAAAAUCUUUGCUUUGCUGGCACAAUGGAUGCUGGUCAGCUUGAGCUGAAGAAUCAGCCAUGAUUAAGAAGAGACCAGCAUCAUUGAGGUGGAGACCUCUGGGAAGUGUUUCCUCAGGAUCAGCACACAGAAAAUAUGUUCCAGAAAUGACCAAGAUUGUACCUCAUUCUGGCAACCAAACUUGGUAGCAUAAGAGUCACCCAGGUAUUGCUGUUUUUGAAGGCAUGAAGGGGUCAUGGAGAGCAGCUGAGGAUUGGCACUGUAUAUCAGGGCUGGAGUCCCUGAAGGGAGGGUGAAAGUGCAACCACAUUGCAACAAGAGACCCAAGCAUGUUUGGAGACACCAGCACCAUGGGAAGACCACCAAGCAGCAGUGGAGUGGAGCAGCCAGAGCCCAGAAGACAAG